rnacentral:rRNA from 1 species
AUUGAACGCUGGCGGCAGGCCUAACGCAUGCAAGUCGAACGGUAACAGAAAGCAGCUUGCUGCUUUGCUGACGAGUGGCGGACGGGUGAGUAAUGUCUGGGAAACUGCCUGAUGGAGGGGGAUAACUACUGGAAACGGUAGCUAAUACCGCAUAACGUCGCAAGACCAAAGAGGGGGACCUUCGGGCCUCUUGCCAUCGGAUGUGCCCAGAUGGGAUUAGCUUGUUGGUGGGGUAACGGCUCACCAAGGCGACGAUCCCUAGCUGGUCUGAGAGGAUGACCAGCCACACUGGAACUGAGACACGGUCCAGACUCCUACGGGAGGCAGCAGUGGGGAAUAUUGCACAAUGGGCGCAAGCCUGAUGCAGCCAUGCCGCGUGUAUGAAGAAGGCCUUCGGGUUGUAAAGUACUUUCAGCGGGGAGGAAGGGAGUAAAGUUAAUACCUUUGCUCAUUGACGUUACCCGCAGAAGAAGCACCGGCUAACUCCGUG